AGUUUAAAGUUGCAUGAGGCCUCUGUUAACGACUUGCUGAUCCCAGCACAGUCCCCUCAAACCACAUUAUAUGAUGUGGAAUUGGUAAAAUGCCUUGUGAAUCGUUAUAUGACAAAUGAGAAGUAUAGUCAAGAUUUGAGUGUCGAGAAGAAUGACGAUGAUUUUGUUUUGUGGCAUGGGCAUGGAUACGUGUUGAAUGUUGGAAAAAUAAUUGAUGGAUAUCUUUCAGAAAUUGCAAAUGACCCAAAUCUCACCCUUGUCAGUUUUAUUGACUUGUCACAAUCUAUUCCCGAGUCUGCUAGACCAACUCAUGAUGGACUGUACAAAGCCAUUGACACCUAUCUAAAGGAGCAUCCCAGUUUGACAAAGGCUGAAAGAAAGAAGAUAUGUGCACUGAUGGAUGUCAAGAAACUGACAACAGAUGUAUCAACGCAUGCUGCACAGAAUGAGCGGCUCCCGCUUCGUGUUGUGGUCCAAGUUUUAUUUUUUGAGCAGGUCAGAGCAAGUGCUGGUGUUCAAGCUCUUAAAAACAAUACGCGUGAUGCUUCAAAUUCAAUGACAAACACGGAUGAAGAAUGUGAGAAAACAGCAGCAGAUGAUAACAACUAUCUCAAGAGACAGAUGAGUAAACUGAAGAUAAAAGAUGAAGAAUUCCAGAAAAACGGAAAACUGAUGAAGAAAAACAGCAAGAACAACAAAAGUGGCCUGCAGUUGCUGCCAUCUCGAUCAAGGAGAAUAUUUGACAAGUUGUGGGUCAUCGUUAAAGGGCAUGGAGAGAACAGAAGCUCAGAGACAUCUGGGAGUUCACAGAGCGCAACAUCAAUGGUUCCAGGAGACACCAAGUCCUCUGGUUCAUCCUCAAGACAAAGGAGACAUUCUAUCUCCUAAGAGAGGAAUUCAAACUUCAUCAGCAGUAAACCGUGAAUGAAAACUAAAAUCUGUUUCAAGUGUAAAAAGUGGUAGGAUUUUGUUUUAGUUGAUAAUGAUGGGUUUAUCUUUUUUAACUUUAUCCUAUCCGGAAAAAUGUAAUAAUUUUUUUUCCUUUUUUAUUGGGUUUUUUCGUGGGGGCUGGCUAGUGUCUAACAUCUGUUGGUUCCAUUAUCAAGAUUAUAUAU
rnacentral:misc_RNA from 1 species